ensembl:lncRNA
UUUUUUUUUUUUUUUUUUUUUUGAAACUUUGUUCUAUCUUGUAUAGUUAUAACUGAUACUGUGUAAGCAGGAAAUCGGGUCUCCCUUACUAUUUGUGAAAUUUAUUUCUACCAGUAAUUAAUUCAAUUGUACUGCAUUUAAGCAUCUGGAACUUGAUUGUUCAUUGUCUUGCCCUUGAGUACAGGUAUUUUUUUGAAUUCAGUUUGUACAGUGUAAUGAAAAUGCAAGAUACAAGAGUGUAAAAUGUACAGUUACUGCAUCCUAAAGCCUGGAAUCUGAAACAGUCUCUCUGUAAGUAAACUUCUCUACACAAAAAUGCAGGACAUAAAUAUUGUUAAACAGACAUUGGAUUGAAGAAUGACUUACAGGUAGAAAUUUUACUGCUGAUACUUGUCUGAGGAAAGUUAAAAAAAAAAAUGCUGACAGAAUUUAUUAAUUGAUGUUAGUUAUGUCACUAAGCUGCAGAUUAUAUGUCUACAAAUAAAACAAUUAAAAAGUUUGUUGGGAUCCAAGGAAUCGUUAACAUCCCAGGACCCUUGUUCUGUGAAGAAACACUUCCUUUCGCACUUGUCGGGAAAAAGAUUCUGCAGAGAAACAUCUACACAGUACACCAUUGUAGGCUGCAGAUCCUCUGAAAAGGCAUGGUGAACUGAAUAUUAACACCAUUUCACACAUUCCCAAGAUGUAUGCAAUUACCUCAGGGAGAAGAGCUGGGAAUGUGAGGUCUCAAGGGCUUAGAUAAUGACAUAAAAUAAAUUGCAACGAUUACUCGUAUAUUUUUCCAAGAGACAUAUUAUUUAAAACCUGUCUAGGCUUUCGAGAAUGAAAGACAGAGGAAUGUCCACUUUAUGAAAUUGCUAUUAAUGUGUGACCUAGAGUUGAAGACAAGGUUAAUUAUGGGUUUUUAACAGAAGUAUCAUUCUGGUUUAAUAUCAGUACCCAGGCCUUAAAUAUUGAAGUAAGUCACAUUUUUCAGGGACAAUUGCCUUUGAAUGAAGAAUGGCGGGGCUCUGAUCUCUGCUGACCCUUACGGCUCCCACUGUGCAAGCCAUAGCAACAGUGUUGCUACAGCAACUGGGGAACACAACGUAAAAUAGAUAGAAUAAAACCAUGAAAUCUGAUGUCAUACUUUCAUGAGAUACAAAAUUGCAAAUAACCUCCUAAAGUAGAUUUAUUGUGUUUGAUAUAUUGUAUAAAAAUAAUAUGGGAUCAAUCUGAAUUGAAAAGGGAUGGUGUUGCUGUAACACUACCAACAGAACUAGGAGGUAAGCCAAUCUUUCAGGACACAUAAAUGUCCUUGUCAUAUGUUUGGUGUUUAAGGCUCUCAAAUCACACAUAUCUUUUCUCAAUGUUUUCAUUCUGUGAGGCUUUUAAUCUUAAAUCUAAAAAGAAAACAAUAAAUACACCAAUACACAUCUGUGUGAUGAACUACCAUCAAUUUUUAAAUGAUUACGUCUUCACCAAAAGCACAACAAAGCAAUCUCAGAACAAGUCCUAUUUAUCGGGAAACAUUCUUACCACUCAACACAACAUUUGAUAAUUAAUAUAGCUUUGCAGUAAUCUUAAGUAUGUUCACUGAAUGGAUGGAUUGUGCUAUGCAUAUUACAAUGGGCUCAGUAAACUACACAGCACAAUGCAGGAUAUUUUUUUAGAAGGAUCAGAAUCUGAUUAAUUUCAUACAGGUUUUUUUCCCCCAUGUCUCACACUAAUCAAAGCUGGAUACUUCAGAGAAUAAAUAAAAUAAAGUAAUAUUUUAUCCAGCCAUAGAGUUCUAAACCAGACAGGUAAAUUUCUGCCAGAACACAUAUGGUGAUCUGCCUAUUUUACCAAACAUAAAGUUUGGUGGCUCCUGUUAAUUGAUUCACUUUCAUUAGUAUGGCUAGUCAGUGAGCGUGUUUUGCUGAAAAUUUCACCUUGUGAUGCUAUAUCACACACACUGUGCUGAAGGUAUUUUGCCUUCAUAGAGGGCUUUACAAGUAUAGUGGUCCAAAAAUUAACUUCACAAAUAUCUUCUACAAAAAUUAUCCUUUCUCUCCUUUCUCUCCUUUCUCUCCUUUCCUAAUGCAGAAAGUUUAAGGAGGAACUUAUACAAAUCACAGAUUUGAUUAGAUUGAUUAGAUCCUGUUCUUACAAGGUCAUAGGAGAUUAAAGCUAAGGUUUGUGUAUGUUCUUGGAAAGCUGAUAUAUAUGAUCACUGCUAACCAAGAAUGCUGUAUUUCAAUUACCUGUCUGAGUAUUUUAAGGUUCUUACAUGACAAAAUAUUGUUUUCUCUAAAAUUACUUUUUCACCAAAUAAUGAAAAUGAUCAUUUGUUUCUAGAAGCAACUUUGCACAGGUUACUGACAACAAAACAAUAUGGUAUAUUCUUUUUCAAUUAAAAGCUAAAACAAAAAAUAGUAAGUCUCUUAGGAAAAAAAAAAAUCAUUUCAAAUCAUUUCUACUCAACCAGCUCUAGCAUUCCUAAAGCCAUCUGCAAUAGAAUUUUGUAAGCUUGUAUUUGCAGCAGUAAAGAAUUUGAUUUUAUGGCUGAAAUUCUAAUUCUGACACCAGAUUUAAACUGUUUGUGAAAUCUAACUACAAACUCAAGGGCACAGCAUUGUGUAAUAAAUAAGUCUGUGUUUGGAAGAAAAAACAUAAGAGAUUCACAGCCUUGCUCUCCCUUCUGAUUUAUACUAUUAUGUCCAAUAGUUGGUAAUGCAGGAAAAUCUCCUGGGAAAUUCCUUUAAAGAAAAAAAAAAGAAUUUUUCAUGUCUAUUAGCUGUAAUUACAGUACUUCUUUUAGCAGGGUCAGUUUCAGAGUUAAAAUAGAAACUCCCUGAACAACCUCUUCAGUUCAGCUCUAUUAUUUCUAUGGGAUCUGGAAUCCUCCUAGUCAGGUAUUGUAUUGAACUGGAAUUAGGACAUUGUUGGAAAUAGAGGAAGAUUCUUCUAGGUUUGAGUUGGGUGGGUGUUUUGUUUGUUUUGAACAGAGCUUCACUUCUAAGCAUCCCUUUCUGGCUCUGCAGCAGAAAGGACAGUGAGUUAAUGCUGCUUGUCGCUUGUGAAGGGCCCAGUUGAAUAAAGUGUUUAUGUGCAUAGCACUCAGUGAUGGCUGUUCUAGAUCGUUUAUUGAACAGACUUCUAUUUCAAGAAAGCGUUUAGCUUUCUCUUUUCCUGAACAGAGGUGAGGUGUAACAGCCCCGAACAACUUUCAUUUCCCUGUACAGCAUGCAAGUUUGGGAUUUCACUUUUUCAAGCCCAGCUGUCUGCCAUGUAUUUUAUCUGUUUCUCCAUACUUCAGAUUUUCCUUCCAGUUUGAUGAGAACUACUCAUCUGUUCUGCUUUUUCAUAUCUCUGGAUACACACUUGUACACACACACAUGCAUUCAUGAUCAAGUGCAGCCCCUCAUACUUGGGAUCCACAAGCAGCAGGAACAUCUAAAUAAAGAUGCAAAUCCUUUCUCCACUCCUUCCAAAUACAGGACAAAGUCUGAAGAUCUACCACUUCAUUUACUUUCUGCAACCAGUAACUCAUAAGCUUUGUUCUCUUUAACUGAAAUAAAAUCAGUCAUAUGUCCAGUAAGGAUUAAAAUAUUUUCAGUGAACACAGUUUAUUUUGUGGAUGACAUUUAUGUCUGCACAAGUUUCUCCAUUCUCACAGAGGUCCCCUUCCCUGUUAUGAGGGUUACUCCGUGUGAAAAGUGAGCAAAACUUAUUGUUCCUUUUAUGUUUCCUGUGCCACUGGCAUCAGGAGGAACUUUGACAUUAAGCUCAGAGAUUGUUGGAUUCAGCCCUAAACAGGCUCAGGUGCUGCAAUAACAUCGUUUCCUCUUGUUUUCAACAGUAUAGCUUGUUCUUUCUAUUAAUGUCCACCCAACACGUCAAAGAUUGAGCAAGUCAAGGCAGGUUACAUCUAAAAAGAACAAAAUCCCCAUUGGCAAUGUUUAAAGCUAAAGCUAUGACUAUUUUGACUAAUAAACAAAUGGACUUCACAGGUGUCAGAAUUUCACUGCAAUCAACCACUAAUCUUUGUUUUGCAAGAGUGAAAUAAAAACAACAGGAAUUUAUUGGUAAAAUGACUAGUCGACUCUUGCCAGGUUCAUGUUAAAACAGGAGACUUCUGCAGGUAUUUUCAAACAUAUUUUUAAUCGUGAACAUAUGUGAUAUAGGGAGGGAAUAUUGGUAUUAUUUUUUUAAAUCUACUUCUUUAAAAAGCUGAAAAGCUGGGAAACAUACUUUUGACUAAAUAACUUUUUGUGUAUGGUUCAUUUUAUUUUUUAGCUAGUCUCCAUGAUACCAUUGCAAUUCUGAUAACAUUGAUAGAGCUGGAAAUUUCUACAUUAAAUUAUCUAGUAAUAUUAUUCACUGAAAGAUAUUGUCAUAUAUGAAAGCCAAUUGCCAUUAAGGUGGCAUAAUAAACAUAUUUCAUAAUGCACAGUUCUAAUAUAUCCUAAUCUUUCUUUUUAUCUGUUCUAAAUUUUCACAGUUUUGCACACAAGCAUUGGUUCUGAGUAGAACAAAUCUUAAAAUAAAAUCUGAUUUCUAUUAAACUAUCAGCUCUCUAGAGCAAAUAUUCUUGUUUUUAUCUGUGUGGAAAGAUG